CUCCAGACUCCUACGGGAGGCAGCAGUGGGGAAUAUUGCACAAUGGGGGAAACCCUGAUGCAGCGACGCCGCGUGAGUGAAGAAGUAUCUCGGUACGUAAAGCUCUAUCAGCAGGGAAGAAAAUGACGGUACCUGACCAAGAAGCCCCGGCUAACUACGUGCCAGCAGCCGCGGUAAUACGUAGGGGGCGAGCGUUAUCCGGAUUUAUUGGGCGUAAAGCGUGCGUAGGCGGCUUGUUAAGUCCAGAAUUAAAGCCCGAGGCUUAACCUCGGUUCGUUCUGGAUACUGGCAAGCUUGAGUAUGGUAGAGGCAAAUGGAAUUCCUAGUGUAGCGGUGAAAUGCGUAGAUAUUAGGAGGAAUACCAGUGGCGAAGGCGAUUUGCUGGGCCAUCACUGACGCUGAGGUACGAAAGCGUGGGUAGCAAAUAGGAUUAGAUACCCGGGUA
rnacentral:rRNA from 1 species